rnacentral:ncRNA from 1 species
AUGAUUAACUUUGCAGAUUUACAUAGCUAUGCAGGCGUUAAAUGUUUAUACACAUUCCCGACCAACCGUUAACAUUGGCGGUUACAAAACUCCCUUAAUUGACUGGGACCCCCUAACAGGCAAGGCUGAGGGAAAUCAGCAGCGAAGCCUCAACCGAGGAACGUUCAACGACUAGUAAGACCUUAUAACAAGGCAUACACUCAAGCGAGUGGAAACAGGGAGCCCCUUACGGGGAUGAUAUAGUCUGAUCUACAUGGAAACAUGUAG